GCCUGGGUGGCUUAGUUGGUUAAGUGUCCGACUUCGGUUCAGGUCAUGAUCUCGCGGUCCGUGGGUUCGAGCCCCGCGUCGGGCU
rnacentral:tRNA from 1 species